rnacentral:rRNA from 1 species
UAUCUCUGUAGAGUCUGCAUAUCAAUAAGCGGAGGAAAAGAAACUAACAAGGAUUCCCUUAGUAACGGCGAGUGAAGCGGGAAGAGCUCAAAUUUGAAAUCUUCAAGGUUCUACCUUGACGAAUUGUAGUUUAUAGAAGUGUUUUCUGUUAGUGGAGUGGCAAAAGUUCUUUGGAAUAGGACAUCAUAGAGGGUGAGAAUCCCGUAUUUGGUCAUUCCUCCUAGCGUUGUGAUACACUUUCAACGAGUCGGAUUGUUUGGGAAUGCAGUCCAAAAUGGGUGGUAAAUUUCAUCUAAAGCUAAAUAUUGGCGAGAGACCGAUAGCGAACAAGUACCGUGAGGGAAAGAUGAAAAGAACUUUGAAAAGAGAGUUAAACAGUACGUGAAAUUGUCAAAAGGGAAGCGUUUGACACCAGUGUUGUUUUUCCGAAAAUCAAUUACGAAUGUUUUGUUUUUAAGAAGUUAUGACUUCAUCGGCUUGCUCCUUUCUUUAGCGAAACUUUCUUAAUGCACUUUUCGGUUAACAAGUCAACAUCAAUUUCUUUUGUUGUAAAAGGGUAUGAGGAAGGUGGCUUUCUUUUCGGAGAAAGUGUUUAUAGCCUUGUGCCUCUGCAAUCGGAGAGAUUGAGGUCUGCAGCGUAGAUCCUUCGGGGUUAGAUACAUUUGUGCUAAGUUAUAGGCCUUGUCAUAGACAACUUGUUGACUAUGUUUAGUCUUGUAGCUUACUCGCUGACGCUAUCUUACCUACGCUUAGGAUGUUGAUGUGAUACUGCGAGC